UACGUAGGGUGCAAGCGUUGUCCGGAAUUAUUGGGCGUAAAGAGCUCGUAGGCGGUCUGUCGCGUCUGGUGUGAAAAUCCAGGGCUUAACCCUGGACCUGCAUCGGGUACGGGCAGACUAGAGUGCGGUAGGGGAGAUCGGAAUUCCUGGUGUAGCGGUUAAAUGCGCAGAUAUCAGGAGGAACACCGGUGGCGAAGGCGGCCUGCUGGGCAGUAGCUGACACUGAGGCGCGACAGCGUGGGGAGCGAACAGG
rnacentral:rRNA from 1 species